rnacentral:rRNA from 1 species
CAGCCGCCGCGGUAAUACGUAGGGUGCAAGCGUUAAUCGGAAUUACUGGGCGUAAAGCGUGCGCAGGCGGUUUGUUAAGACAGAUGUGAAAUCCCCGGGCUCAACCUGGGAACUGCAUUUGUGACUGGCAAGCUAGAGUAUGGCAGAGGGGGGUGGAAUUCCGCGUGUAGCAGUGAAAUGCGUAGAUAUGCGGAGGAACACCGAUGGCGAAGGCAGCCCCCUGGGCCAAUACUGACGCUCAUGCACGAAAGCGUGGGGAGCAAACAGGAUUAGAUACCCGUGUAGUCCCUGUCUCUUAUAC